rnacentral:lncRNA from 1 species
CACACGGAGGCCAGACCAGGGCAGUGCUGUGAGGCCCCAACACCCUUCGGUAGGCGACAUGAGUGGGGGACAGAUUCUAACACCUUGAUUCCUCAUGUGUGUGUUUCUGCAGUGUGGAGCACUGUGAGUCUGUGUGGCAGCGUCCACGAUGAAGAUGACACAGACUCGGUGGUGGAGAGCAGCAACAGCCACCAGGACGAGGAGGCUGCAGAAUCUUGCUUUGGGAGGAAAGGAUCUUGCUUCAGGAGCCUGAGGAUAAGUUUGUCCUCUGCGAGCUUGGCUAGACUAAUCCCCUGGUGGCCGCACAACAGGGUGCACCCAGCCACUGAGCCAGAUGAAGCAACGCACGACGAUGUUGUGGAGGCCGGUGGGAGUGAGAAGACCGAGGAGGAGGCCCAGGCUGUGACCAAGGAGGAGGAGGCGGGCCCGGCCCCUGAGAAGGGGGCAGAGGAGGCCGCAGCCGUUGGCGAGGCAGAGGAGGAGGCGGGCCCAGGCAGUGACAAUGACAAGACGUCCCCAGCCAGGGCUGGGGCUGAGCAGGAAGAUGAAUCUGCCCCCAAGGUAAGCUCACCUUUCUUGAUGUGAGGUUGGAAAAGUCGCCUCCUUUCUUUUUUGAUAUUCCUACCUGAGAAAUGAAAAUCUGAGGAAGUCCAUUGUUUAUGAG